UGGGGAAUAUUGCACAAUGGGGGAAACCCUGAUGCAGCGACGCCGCGUGAACGAAGAAGGUAUUCGUAUCGUAAAGUUCUGUCCUAUGGGAAGAUAAUGACAGUACCAUAGAAGAAAGCUCCGGCUAAAUACGUGCCAGCAGCCGCGGUAAUACGUAUGGAGCGAGCGUUGUCCGGAAUUAUUUGGCGUAAAGGGUACGCAGGCGGUUUAAUAAGUCGAAUGUUAAAGAUCGGGGCUCAACCCCGCAAAGCAUUGGAAACUGAUAAACUUGAGUAGUGGAGAGGAAAGUGGAAUUCCUAGUGUAGUGGUGAAAUACGUAGAUAUUAGGGGGAAUACCAGUAGCGAAGACGACGUUCUGGACACAAACUGACGCUGAGGUACGAAAGCGUGGGGAGCAAACAGG
rnacentral:rRNA from 1 species